rnacentral:rRNA from 1 species
UAGGGAAUCUACGGCAAUGGGGGGAACCCUGACCGAGCAACGCCGCGUGAGUGAAGAAGGUUUUCGGAUCGUAAAGCUCUGUUGUUAAGGAAGAACGAGUGUGAGAAUGGAAAGUUCAUACUGUGAAGGUACUUAACCAGAAAGGGACGGCUAACUACGUGCCAGCAGCCGCGGUAAUACGUAGGUCCCGAGCGUUGUCCGGAUUUAUUGGGCGUAAAGCGAGCGCAGGCGGUUAGAUAAGUCUGAAGUUAAAGGCAGUGGCUCAACCAUUGUAGUCUUUGGUAACUGUUUAACUUGAGUGCAGAAGGGGAGAGUGGAAUUCCAUGUGUAGCGGUGAACUGCGUAGAGAUAUGGAGGAACACCGGUGGCGAGAGCGGCUCUCUGGUCUGUAUCUGUCGCUGAGGCUCGAAAGCGUGGGGAGCGAACAGG